rnacentral:rRNA from 1 species
CCUACGGGAGGCAGCAGUGGGGAAUAUUGGGCAAUGGACGAGAGUCUGAACCAGCCACGUAGCGUGAAGGAUGACUGCCCUAUGGGUUGUAAACUUCUUUUAUAAAGGAAUAAAACGAGGCACGUGUGCCUUUGUGCAUGUACUUUAUGAAUAAGGAUCGGCUAACUACGUUCCAGCCGCCGCGGUAAUACGGAGGAUGCGAGCGUUAUCCGGAUUGAUUGGGUUUAAAGUGAGCGUAGAUGGGUUGUUAAGUCAGUUGUGAAAGUUUGCGGCUCAACCGUAAAAUGGCAAUUGAUACUGGCAGUCUUGAGUACAGUUGAGGUAGGCGGAAUUCGUGGUGUAGCGGUGAAAUGCUUAGAUAUAAGGAGGAACACCGAUUGCGAAGGCAGCUUACUAAACUGUGACUGACAUUGAGGCUCGAAAGUGUGGGUAGCAAACAGGAUUAGAUACCCCGGUAGUC